UCGCUCUUUACCGAGCGUACGUCUAGGGCGAAGGAGUCGGUUCCUCGUUCAGCGAAAUCAUUAAACAUCUUCCACAAUGUUUAUCUUCAAAGUACACCAAACCAGUGCCAUCAUGGACAACAACCCGUUGAAGCCACGAGGAAGGACCAGCGUGGAGGUGCUUGAUGCCAUGUGAGCUUCAUAAGGGAGGAAAUUGCAAAGCUUAAUAGGAAGCCGGACAUCAAGCCACUGCUGAAGGCCACGAUGUGCCGAUGGCUGCAAGCCGAAGAAGCUGGAGAGUGCUUUUAAGGUUUCCAGCUCGCAGCUGAGCCCAGGAGCCUGUUUACCUGGUGGAGAUGCAGUGCACACCCUCACGAAGAUGCAGACUCCCACGGAGGCUAUAUCCCAACCUUCCCAGAGUGGCUGGAUGUCACAAAGAAGUUCUGGCACUUGGACAAACAUUAGAAUUCGUAUUAAUUUCCUUUUUUACAAAAUAUCCAAUUUGAUUUGAAGGUAGCUGUAUAAUCUUUCAUGUAGCUCAUUGCGUUAGAGCAUGGCGCUAGCAAGGUUAUGAGUUCGGUCCCAGGCGAUUGCACAUACUCUGAUAUAAUGUAUGGUGUGCUUGUCGCAUUGGAUAAAAGCGUCUGCUGAAUGCGUAAAUGUUACCAACAGAUAAAUCUGCCCUGUUCCUUAUAGAAAGUUGUUUUGUUUAAACUUAUUCAAGUAUUUGUUCUAUGUGAAUUCAUGGCAGAAUUUAUAAUUUUUGUGAAGUUGUGUACUGUGUACAUACCCUGUGUACUAAAGCAUACAGCUACUCUGUAUUCAUACUGUAAUCGCAGUAAAUGUUAUGGUUAAACAUCUGUAUCCAAAUUCAGACUUAUGCAUUUUGGAUCAAUCUAUGGAAGACUUUAAGACAAUACAAAACAAAUAAACAGCUGUUUCCUGUCA